AGAGCGAACGCUGGCGGCAGGCCUAAUACAUGCAAGUCGAGCGCACCUUCGGGUGAGCGGCGGACGGGUGAGUAACGCGUGGGAACGUGCCCUUUGGUACGGAACAACUGAGGGAAACUUCAGCUAAUACCGUAUGUGCCCUUCGGGGGAAAGAUUUAUCGCCAUUGGAGCGGCCCGCGUUGGAUUAGCUAGUUGGUAGGGUAAAAGCCUACCAAGGCUACGAUCCAUAGCUGGUCUGAGAGGAUGAUCAGCCACACUGGGACUGAGACACGGCCCAGACUCCUACGGGAGGCAGCAGUAGGGAAUCUUGCGCAAUGGGCGAAAGCCUGACGCAGCCAUGCCGCGUGAAUGAUGAAGGUCUUAGGAUUGUAAAAUUCUUUCACCGGGAAGAUAAUGACGGUACCCGGAGAAGAAGCCCGGCUAACUCGUGCCAGCAGCCGC
rnacentral:rRNA from 1 species